UAGGGAAUCUUCCACAAUGGACGAAAGUCUGAUGGAGCAACGCCGCGUGAGUGAAGAAGGGUUUCGGCUCGUAAAACUCUGUUGUUGAAGAAGAACAUAUCUGAGAGUAACUGUUCAGGUAUUGACGGUAUUUAACCAGAAAGCCACGGCUAACUACGUGCCAA
rnacentral:rRNA from 1 species